AUGAGAGUGUACUAUAUCUGGCGCGGUUGUAGUACACGAACAUCUCAUCCUAGCGGCUCCUCUAGGAUGAUGUUUGCUUCCACAUUUUCCUUUUCUGCUUGUGUCGCAAGUGGUGGUUUUGGUUGUGCAUUCGGGUCCGGCUGUGGGCCUGGCAGUGGUUGUGGGUUUGGGUCUGGUAAUGGUUGUGGGUUUGGAUCAGGUUGUGGCUCUGGCAGUGGUUGUGGGUUGGGUUUAGGCUCGGGUAGUGGUUGCGGGUUUGGGUCUGGUCGUGGUCCCGGCAGUGGUUGUGGGUCUGGUAAUGGUUGA
rnacentral:rRNA from 1 species